rnacentral:rRNA from 1 species
CGAGGGGCAUCAUGUCGAUUGCUUGCUUUGUUGAUGGCGACCGGCGCACGGGUGAGUAACGCGCAUCCAACCUUCCCCUUAAUAGGGGAUAGCCCGGCGAAAGUCGGAUUAUCACCCUAUGUUCUUCUUUGAUUUUUUCUGACGAGAAGCAAAGGUUCACCUCUAUGUUUUGGGGAUGCGUCUGAUUAAGUAGUAGGCGGGGUAACGGCCCACCUAGCCGACGAUCAGUAGGGGUUCUGAGAGGACGGUCCCCCACAUUGGUACUGAGACAUGGACCAAACUCCUACGGGAGAAACAAUGAGGAAUAUUGGA